rnacentral:rRNA from 1 species
CGGGGGGGGCAAGCGUUGUUCGGAAUUACUGGGCGUAAAGGGUGCGUAGGCGGCUCUCUAAGUCGGAUGUGAAAACUCUGGGCUCAACCCAGAGCCUGCAUCCGAAACUGGAGGGCUAGGGUUCUGGAGGGGAAAGCGGAAUUCCUGGUGUAGCGGUGAAAUGCGUAGAUAUCAGGAGGAACACCGGUGGCGAGGGCGGCUUUCUGGACAGAUACCGACGCUGAGGCACGAAAGCUAGGGGAGCAAACAGGAUUAGAUACCCUGGUAGUCCUAGCCCUAAACUAUGGAUACUUGCUGUGGGGGGGAUUGAAGCCCCUUGUGGCGAAGCUAACGCAUUAAGUAUCCCGCCUGGGGAGUACGGUCGCAAGGCUG